AGAUUAAGUUAUUAAGGGCGCACGGUGGAUGCCUUGGCACUAGAAGCCGAUGAAGGACGUUACUAACGACGAUAUGCUUUGGGGAGCUGUAAGUAAGCUUUGAUCCAGAGAUUUCCGAAUGGGGAAACCCAGCAUGAGUUAUGUCAUGUUAUCGAUAUGUGAAUACAUAGCAUAUCAGAAGGCACACCCGGAGAACUGAAACAUCUUAGUACCCGGAGGAAGAGAAAGAAAAUUCGAUUCCCUUAGUAGCGGCGAGCGAAACGGGAAGAGCCCAAACCAACAAGCUUGCUUGUUGGGGUUGUAGGACACUCUAUACGGAGUUACAAAGGACGACAUUAGACGAAUCAUCUGGAAAGAUGAAUCAAAGAAGGUAAUAAUCCUGUAGUCGAAAAUGUUGUCUCUCUUGAGUGGAUCCUGAGUACGACGGAGCACGUGAAAUUCCGUCGGAAUCUGGGAGGACCAUCUCCUAAGGCUAAAUACUCUCUAGUGACCGAUAGUGAACCAGUACCGUGAGGGAAAGGUGAAAAGCACCCCGGAAGGGGAGUGAAAUAGAACCUGAAACCGUGUGCUUACAAGUAGUCAGAGCCCGUUAAUGGGUGAUGGCGUGCCUUUUGUAGAAUGAACCGGCGAGUUACGAUUUGAUGCAAGGUUAAGCAGUAAAUGUGGAGCCGUAGCGAAAGCGAGUCUGAAUAGGGCGUUUAGUAUUUGGUCGUAGACCCGAAACCAGGUGAUCUACCCUUGGUCAGGUUGAAGUUCAGGUAACACUGAAUGGAGGACCGAACCGACUUACGUUGAAAAGUGAGCGGAUGAACUGAGGGUAGCGGAGAAAUUCCAAUCGAACCUGGAGAUAGCUGGUUCUCUCCGAAAUAGCUUUAGGGCUAGCCUCAAGUGAUGAUUAUUGGAGGUAGAGCACUGUUUGGACGAGGGGCCCCUCUCGGGUUACCGAAUUCAGACAAACUCCGAAUGCCAAUUAAUUUAACUUGGGAGUCAGAACAUGGGUGAUAAGGUCCGUGUUCGAAAGGGAAACAGCCCAGACCACCAGCUAAGGUCCCAAAAUAUAUGUUAAGUGGAAAAGGAUGUGGCGUUGCCCAGACAACUAGGAUGUUGGCUUAGAAGCAGCCAUCAUUUAAAGAGUGCGUAAUAGCUCACUAGUCGAGUGACACUGCGCCGAAAAUGUACCGGGGCUAAACAUAUUACCGAAGCUGUGGAUUGUCCUUUGGACAAUGGUAGGAGAGCGUUCUAAGGGCGUUGAAGCAUGAUCGUAAGGACAUGUGGAGCGCUUAGAAGUGAGAAUGCCGGUGUGAGUAGCGAAAGACGGGUGAGAAUCCCGUCCACCGAUUGACUAAGGUUUCCAGAGGAAGGCUCGUCCGCUCUGGGUUAGUCGGGUCCUAAGCUGAGGCCGACAGGCGUAGGCGAUGGAUAACAGGUUGAUAUUCCUGUACCACCUAUAAUCGUUUUAAUCGAUGGGGGGACGCAG
rnacentral:rRNA from 1 species